AUGCGUAACGCACCCCGACACGCGUGUAAGCACACGCACAGCGCUUACGGAGCGAGGCACACGCCCCACACUGCAAACACACCCGGAAACGCCCGCCAAGCGCAGCCCCGUGCUGCUGCGGGCAGCGGUCCCUACACGCAGCCUGAGCGCCCCUGCACCGUGCACUGUGUGCACGCAGACACACACCCCCUGCACACACACCGCACACAUUGCACACACCCUUGCACACACGCAGGCCCUCUGCCACCCCCACGGCUUUUGCAAGCUCUGUGCAGCCGCUGCCACCGUGCACAGGCAUCCGUGGGGACCCCCACCCGAGCGCACACGCCCUCCCCUUACACGCCUCUCGUGCACGAGCACACACACGCGCCCCCCCAGCCCGCACACAAGCGCUGCACGGAAGCACAGAAGCGCCCGCCCAGCAGCGUGAACACACACACACACACACUCACAUCCCCGCACCCCUCCCUUGCACACACCGCACGCACCCCGCCCGCCGCUUACCGGCUCGGGGCGCGGGUCCCGCCUGCAGCGUGGGGCAGCUCCGGGGCUCCCCGCCCGCGGGGGGCGCGGGGCGGUGCCGGGAGCUCCGCCCGCCGCCUGCAACAAAAGGCCGCCCCGCCCGGCCUUCCCCCCCCCGCCCCGCGGCUCCACGCCGUCGGCAGCGCCGCCGCUGUCCGCCCGGCCCGGGUUCGGGGCGAGGGGGCAGCCCUGGGUGGGGGGUGCAGGAGAGAACGGGUCCCGCCGCGGCGGUGCCGCCGGCCGCGGUCGGUGUUGCUCCCCCCGCGGUGCUGCGUGAGAGCCGCGGGGCGUGGGGAGCUGCUCUGCGGGUGCUUCCCAGGGAGGGGCUGCUCUCGGGCAGCCCCGGGGGCAGAGCUGUUGGCGAUGCGUGGCGGGUGCACGGACACCGGGGGACGUGUGCGUGUGGCUGCGGGCGUUGCCGUGAGGUCCUGGUGGUGCCGCGUGGCUCCAGGCCUUUGGAGCAGCACGUGGCUGCUGAUGUCUGCCCAGAGCCACACACACCCCGAGGUGCUGUCGGUGAGCAGAGCCCCUGGAGUCGCCCAGAGCUGUAGUGGGUGCUUGGGGUGGCCCAGCACGGGGCUCCUGGGUGCUGAGCCCCCACAGCCCCCGAGCAGAGCUGCGGCAACAGCACGGCCCUGCACGGAGCCAAGCACUAAGUACAGCCCGCCAGCCUCAGCCCCUCACCUCCGGGGGCCUCCUCAUCCUCACCAUUCCACUUGCUUUUUCAGCUCCGCCACGUCCCCGAGCGCUGCCAUCUGCCCGCUGUGCCACCGAGCCCUCGGCAGCCCGGCUGCUCUGCUGCUGUCACCGUGUCUGGAGCUGCCAUGCUGCCCCGUGCUGCAUGGCCCCGGCUGCUCCUGCCAGCUGUGGGCUCUGCAGCUUCCGGGCCUGGGGGGCAGUGAGAUGUGCUGUGGGGCUGUUGUGGGGGCUGUGGAGGGGCACAGACGACACGCACCUCCACCAGCCCCUUGCUGUUCCUUGCUGGGGCACUCAAAACACAGCUCAGACUCCCCUGGCGCUCAUUGCUCUCCACGCAGGGCUGGAGCACGGCCCCGGUCCUCAGCGGCCCACGCUGACCCUCCCGGGGCCACCCAGCUGUGGAGAUCUGCUCUGGGCUCCAGCCAGCGCUGUUCUCCUUUGUUGGGAGGCCGCCCUUUCUGGGACGGUGCCACAUGGCCGCUCACCAGCGGGGCCACACUGCCCUGA
rnacentral:lncRNA from 1 species